rnacentral:rRNA from 1 species
UACGAAGGGUGCUAGCGUUGUUCGGAAUCACUGGGCGUAAAGCGCGCGUAGGCGGCUUUUCAAGUCAGGGGUGAAAUCCUGAGGCUUAACCUCAGAAUUGCCUUUGAAACUGUAAAGCUAGAGUGUCGGAGGGGAUAGCGGAAUUUCCAAUGUAGCGGUGAAAUGCGUAGAUAUUGGAAGGAACACCGGUGGCGAAGGCGGCUAUCUGGACGACAACUGACGCUGAGGCGCGAAAGCGCGGGGAUCAAACAGG